AGCGUACACGGUGGAUGCCCUGGCAGUCAGAGGCGAUGAAGGACGUGCUAAUCUGCGAAAAGCGCCGGCGAGGUGAUAUGAACCCUUGACCCGGCGAUGUCCGAAUGGGGAAACCCAGUGUGUUCCGACACACUAUCGUUAACUGAAUACAUAGGUUAACGAGGCGAACCGGGGGAACUGAAACAUCUAAGUACCCCGAGGAAAAGAAAUCAACCGAGAUUCCCCCAGUAGCGGCGAGCGAACGGGGAGCAGCCCGGAGUCUGAAUCAGCUUGUGUGUUAGUGGAACGGUCUGGAAAGUCCGACGGUACAGGGUGAUAGUCCCGUACACGAAAACACACUUGCUGUGAACUCGAAGAGUAGGGCGGGACACGUGGUAUCCUGUCUGAAUAUGGGGGGACCAUCCUCCAAGGCUAAAUACUCCUGACUGACCGAUAGUGAACCAGUACCGUGAGGGAAAGGCGAAAAGAACCCCGGCGAGGGGAGUGAAAAAGAACCUGAAACCGUGUACGUACAAGCAGUGGGAGCACCUUCGGGUGUGACUGCGUACCUUUUGUAUAAUGGGUCAGCGACUUAUAUUCUGUAGCAAGGUUAACCGUAUAGGGGAGCCGAAGGGAAACCGAGUCUUAACUGGGCGUUAAGUUGCAGGGUAUAGACCCGAAACCCGGUGAUCUAGCCAUGGGCAGGUUGAAGGUUGGGUAACACUAACUGGAGGACCGAACCGACUAAUGUUGAAAAAUUAGCGGAUGACCUGUGGCUGGGGGUGAAAGGCCAAUCAAACCGGGAGAUAGCUGGUUCUCCCCGAAAGCUAUUUAGGUAGCGCCUCGUGAACUCAUCUUCGGGGGUAGAGCACUGUUUCGGCUAGGGGGCCAUCCCGGCUUACCAACCCGAUGCAAACUACGAAUACCGAAGAAUGUUAUCACGGGAGACACACGGCGGGUGCUAACGUCCGUCGUGAAGAGGGAAACAACCCAGACCGCCAGCUAAGGUCCCAAAGUCAUGGUUAAGUGGGAAACGAUGUGGGAAGGCACAGACAGCCAGGAUGUUGGCUUAGAAGCAGCCAUCAUUUAAAGAAAGCGUAAUAGCUCACUGGUCGAGUCGGCCUGCGCGGAAGAUGUAACGGGGCUAAACCAUGCACCGAAGCUGCGGCAGCGACACUUAUGUGUUGUUGGGUAGGGGAGCGUUCUGUAAGCCGUUGAAGGUGUGCUGUGAGGCAUGCUGGAGGUAUCAGAAGUGCGAAUGCUGACAUAAGUAACGAUAAAGCGGGUGAAAAGCCCGCUCGCCGGAAGACCAAGGGUUCCUGUCCAACGUUAAUCGGGGCAGGGUGAGUCGACCCCUAAGGCGAGGCCGAAAGGCGUAGUCGAUGGGAAACAGGUUAAUAUUCCUGUACUUGGUGUUACUGCGAAGGGGGGACGGAGAAGGCUAUGUCAGCCGGGCGACGGUUGUCCCGGUUUAAGCAUGUAGGCGGAGGUUCCAGGUAAAUCCGGUACCUUGUUAACGCUGAGGUGUGAUGACGAGGCACUACGGUGCUGAAGUGAUAAAUGCCCUGCUUCCAGGAAAAGCCUCUAAGCAUCAGGUAACACGAAAUCGUACCCCAAACCGACACAGGUGGUCAGGUAGAGAAUACCAAGGCGCUUGAGAGAACUCGGGUGAAGGAACUAGGCAAAAUGGUGCCGUAACUUCGGGAGAAGGCACGCUGAUAUGUAGGUGAAGCCCCUGCGGGCGGAGCUGAAAUCAGUCGAAGAUACCAGCUGGCUGCAACUGUUUAUUAAAAACACAGCACUGUGCAAACACGAAAGUGGACGUAUACGGUGUGACGCCUGCCCGGUGCCGGAAGGUUAAUUGAUGGGGUUAGCGGCAACGCGAAGCUCUUGAUCGAAGCCCCGGUAAACGGCGGCCGUAACUAUAACGGUCCUAAGGUAGCGAAAUUCCUUGUCGGGUAAGUUCCGACCUGCACGAAUGGCGUAAUGAUGGCCAGGCUGUCUCCACCCGAGACUCAGUGAAAUUGAACUCGCUGUGAAGAUGCAGUGUACCCGCGGCAAGACGGAAAGACCCCGUGAACCUUUACUAUAGCUUGACACUGAACACUGGUCCUUGAUGUGUAGGAUAGGUGGGAGGCUUUGAAGCGUGGACGCCAGUCUGCGUGGAGCCGUCCUUGAAAUACCACCCUUUAAUGGCUGGUGUUCUAACGUAGACCCGUGAUCCGGGUUGCGGACAGUGUCUGGUGGGUAGUUUGACUGGGGCGGUCUCCUCCCAAAGAGUAACGGAGGAGCACGAAGGUUGGCUAAUCCUGGUCGGACAUCAGGAGGUUAGUGCAAUGGCAUAAGCCAGCUUGACUGCGAGCGUGACGGCGCGAGCAGGUGCGAAAGCAGGUCAUAGUGAUCCGGUGGUUCUGAAUGGAAGGGCCAUCGCUCAACGGAUAAAAGGUACUCCGGGGAUAACAGGCUGAUACCGCCCAAGAGUUCAUAUCGACGGCGGUGUUUGGCACCUCGAUGUCGGCUCAUCACAUCCUGGGGCUGAAGUAGGUCCCAAGGGUAUGGCUGUUCGCCAUUUAAAGUGGUACGCGAGCUGGGUUUAGAACGUCGUGAGACAGUUCGGUCCCUAUCUGCCGUGGGCGCUGGAGAAUUGAGGGGGGCUGCUCCUAGUACGAGAGGACCGGAGUGGACGCAUCACUGGUGUUCGGGUUGUCAUGCCAAUGGCACUGCCCGGUAGCUAAAUGCGGAAGAGAUAAGUGCUGAAAGCAUCUAAGCACGAAACUUGCCCCGAGAUGAGUUCU
rnacentral:rRNA from 1 species